CCUACGGGAGGCAGCAGUGAGGAAUCUUGGUCAAUGGGCUUACGCCUGACCCAGCCAAGUCGCGUGAGGGAAGACUGCCCUAUGGGUUUUAAACCUCUUUUUUCGGGGAGCAACGCCGGCUACGUGUAGCCGGACUGAGAGUACCUGAAGAAAAAGCAUCGGCUAACUCCGUGCCAGCAGCCUCGGUAAUACUGAGGAUGCGAGCGUUAUCGGGAUUUAUUGGGUUUAAAGGGUGCGUGGGGGGAAUGCAAAUUAAGCGGUAAAAUCGAGGGGCUCAACCUCGCUCCGCCGUUGAAACUGGCGUUCUUGAGUGCGCGAGAAGUAAGUGGAAUGCGUGGUGUAGCGGUGAAAUGCAUAGAGA
rnacentral:rRNA from 1 species